ACCCGCACAAGCAGCGGAGCGUGUGGUUUAAUUCGUUGCUACACGAAGAACCUUACCUGGGUUUGACAUAUAGGUUGUAGGGAACUGAAAGGGACCGACCCUUCGGGGAGCCUAUACAGGUGUUGCAUGGCUGUCGUCAGCUCGUGUCGUGAGAUGUCGGUUAAGUCCGCUAACGAGCGCAACCCUCGUCGUAUGUUAUAUGUGUCAUACGAGACUGCCGGUAAAAGCCGGAGGAAGGUGAGGAUGAUGUCAAGUCAGCAUGACCUUUAUAUCCAGGGCUACAUACACGCUACAAUGGUCUGUACAAUGGGUAGCCAAGCCGCGAGGCGGAGCCAAUCCUGAAAGCAGGCCUCAGUUCAGAUUGCAGUCUGCAACUCGACUGCAUGAAGCCGGAGUUGCUAGUAACCGCAGGUCAGCAAUACUGCGGUGAAUACGUUCCCGGGUCUU
rnacentral:rRNA from 1 species